rnacentral:rRNA from 1 species
GACGGAUGGGGCUAGCGUUGUCCGGAAUUACUGGGCGUAAAGGGCGCGUAGGCGGCCAUUUAAGUUAGACGUGAAAGCCCUGGGCUUAACCUAGGAACUGCGUUUAAUACUGGAUGGCUAGAGUAUGGUAGAGGAAAGCGGAAUUCCUAGUGUAGAGGUGAAAUUCGUAGAUAUUCGCAAGAACACCAGUGGCGAAGGCGGCUCACUGGCCCGAUACUGACGCUGAGGCACGAAAGCGUGGGGAGCAAACAGG